rnacentral:rRNA from 1 species
UACGAAGGGGGCUAGCGUUGCUCGGAAUCACUGGGCGUAAAGCGCACGUAGGCGGCUUCUCAAGUCAGGGGUGAAAUCCUGGAGCUCAACUCCAGAACUGCCUUUGAUACUGGCGAUCUUGAGUCUGGGAGAGGUGAGUGGAACUCCGAGUGUAGAGGUGAAAUUCGUAGAUAUUCGCAAGAACACCAGUGGCGAAGGCGGCUCACUGGCCCGAUACUGACGCUGAGGCACGAAAGCGUGGGGAGCAAACAGG